rnacentral:rRNA from 1 species
AGUGAACGCUGGCGGUAGGCCUAACACAUGCAAGUCGAACGGCAGCACAGUAAGAGCUUGCUCUUACGGGUGGCGAGUGGCGGACGGGUGAGGAAUACAUCGGAAUCUACUUUUUCGUGGGGGAUAACGUAGGGAAACUUACGCUAAUACCGCAUACGACCUACGGGUGAAAGCAGGGGAUCUUCGGACCUUGCGCGAAUGAAUGAGCCGAUGUCGGAUUAGCUAGUUGGCGGGGUAAAGGCCCACCAAGGCGACGAUCCGUAGCUGGUCUGAGAGGAUGGUCAGCCACCCUGGAACUGAGACACGGUCCAGACUCCUACGGGAGGCAGCAGUGGGGAAUAUUGGACAAUGGGCGCAAGCCUGAUCCAGCCAUACCGCGUGGGUGAAGAAGGCCUUCGGGUUGUAAAGCCCUUUUGUUGGGAAAGAAAAGCAGCAGGUUAAUACCCCGCUGUUCUGACGGUACCCAAAGAAUAAGCACCGGCUAACUUCGUG